AACGAACGCUGGCGGCGUGGAUAAGACAUGCAAGUCGAACGGGAAUUCGCUGGUAGCAAUAUUAGUGGAUUCUAGUGGCGAAAGGGUGCGUAACACGUAGCUACCUACCUCGAAGUUGGGGAUAGCUCGCCGAAAGGCGAAUUAAUACCGAAUGUGAUCGUGAGAUCAAAGCUGGGGAUCGUAAGACCUGGCGCUUUGAGAUGGGGCUGCGGCCUAUCAGCUAGUGGCGGGGUAACGGCCCACCAAGGCUUAGACGGGUAGCUGUCUGAGGGACGACCAGCCACACUGGAACUGAGACACGGUCCAGACACCUACGGGUGGCAGCAGUCGA
rnacentral:rRNA from 1 species